rnacentral:tRNA from 1 species
GGAGCAGUGGCAGAGUGGUUGAAUGCGCACGACUCGAAAUCGUGUAUAGGGGCAACCCUAUCAAGGGUUCAAAUCCCUUCUGCUCCGCCA